rnacentral:lncRNA from 1 species
GAGCAGAGGGGAUGUGAAGGAGACCUGAGAAUAAGGGACAGAAGGAGGAUGCCACUAACCAAGGGAGGAGGGAUACGUGGGUUGGUGUUAUUGUUUGCGUCAACUCGCACGUUAAUUCAGAAAUGUUCAGAGGUGAAAUGAUCAGACUAUGAGAGCUGUAACCUAAUCACUGGUUUAAUCCACUCGAUGGCUUAACAGUUGAGAGGACUACUGUACUAGAUGGUGACUGUGAGCAGGUAGGGUGUGGCUGGAGGAAGUAGGUCACUGGGGGUGUACCCUUGGGGUUAUAUUUUGUCUCUAGCUCAUUACUCUCUCCCUUCUUCCUGGACGAUCCGAGCAGCAUUCUUCAUCACGCCCUUCCUCCAUGAUGUUCUGCCUCAUCUUGGGCCCAGAGCAAUUGGAAUUGGCCAGUCACAAACUAAAUCUCUGAAACUGUGAGCCCCAAGGAAGCGUUCCUUCCUCUAAGUUGUACUUGUCAGGUAUUUUGGUCACAGUGAUGAGAAGCUAACACAGCUGGGGAUGCUUUUGGCUGCAAGUAACAGCAAACCUGUCCAGUGGGGAUUUAGAUAAGAGGGACUCUUUUUCUCGAAGUUUGGAUGCCAGCAGCAGUGUCCAUGUCGAUCGAUGUCUCUGGGGUCCCCUCCACCUUCCCUCAGCUUUGGGCAUUAUGUUCUCCUGUGGCUGAGUCCACAGCAGCAAAUAGCAAGCAGCACAGAACACACAAUCUGCUCAUGUCCUUCUUACUGGUGGGCGCAGGUGGCGGUAGAAGACCCCAGCUAAUCUUCUCUAGAUCCCACAAUUCUGGGACCAGGGGCUGUGCCCAUCUUGCUGAUAUCAAAGAACCUCUUUCCUCGACAAAAAAAGAUUUAGCCAUCCAAGAAGGGGAAUGGUGUGGAGAAGCAGUGUUGGCCGUAGGCACACCCAUAAGGAGAGACUUUCUGCUGGGUUAAUUGAUGUGGGGUGGGGGGGCAGGUGGGAUGAAUGCUGAGAAGGAGCCUCCGGACUUGAUGCUCAGUGGACUCCACCUGAGGCUCUUGAGAGGGUGGUUCCCAGGGGUUGCUGACCUUCACUGCAGACUGCAGGCUCUUCAGAAUCAUGGGGAGCCAUUCAGGAGGCGAAGACUGUUUGCUGUUAAAGGUGAGAGUGGAGUGGGGACAGUCACUGGACUCAGGAGGUAGACUCAGGAAAGCUUUUCAGUUUGGGGCUGACUUGAAGAUGAGUAUAGGCUGAGAAAGGGGCCAGCAGGGGAGAGGGUGAAGAUUUGAAGCAAGACAGGCUAGUUGAUCCUGCAUCCCCUGAAAGAGAUCAAAUUGCCAAGGUGAUGGCUGACACUGUGACCAAUGGGAAGACUUUUCUGAGAAGAUUCAGAUGCCUUCUCAGACAGGAGGGCAGGAGGGCAGGAUGGUGAGCCCAGCCAGGAUGGAGAUUGCUCUCAGCUUGUGAAAUGGGU